UGGGGAAUAUUGCACAAUGGGCGAAAGCCUGAUGCAGCGACGCCGCGUGCGGGAUGAAGGCCUUCGGGUUGUAAACCGCUUUUAAUUGGGAGCAAGCGAGAGUGAGUGUACCUUUUGAAUAAGCACCGGCUAACUACGUGCCAGCAGCCGCGGUAAUACGUAGGGUGCAAGCGUUAUCCGGAAUUAUUGGGCGUAAAGAGCUCGUAGGCGGUUUGUCACGCCUGGUGUGAAAGUCCAUCGCUUAACGGUGGAUCUGCGCCGGGUACGGGCAGGCUAGAGUGCAGUAGGGGAGAUUGGAAUUCCCGGUGUAACGGUGGAAUGUGUAGAUAUCGGGAAGAACACCAAUGGCGAAGGCAGAUCUCUGGGCUGUUACUGACGCUGAGGAGCGAAAGCAUGGGGAGCGAACAGGAUUAGAUACCCUGGUAGUCCAUGCCGUAAACGGUGGAUGCUGGAUGUGGGACCCUUCCACGGGUUCCGUGUCGGAGCUAACGCGUUAAGCAUCCCGCCUGGGGAGUACGGCCGCAAGGCUAAAAC
rnacentral:rRNA from 1 species